CCUACGGGACGCAGCAGUGGGGGAUAUUGCACAAUGGGGGGAACCCUGAUGCAGCGACGCCGCGUGAGCGAAGAAGUACCUCGGUAUGUAAAGCUCUAUCAGCAGGGAAGAAAAUGACGGUACCUGACUAAGAAGCCCCGGCUAAAUACGUGCCAGCAGCCGCGGUAAUACGUAUGGGGCAAGCGUUAUCCGGAUUUACUGGGUGUAAAGGGAGCGCAGGCGGCCUGCCAAGUCUGGUGUGAAAACCCGGGGCCCAACCCCGGGACUGCUCUGGAAACUGCCAUGCUAGAGUGCUGGAGAGGUAA
rnacentral:rRNA from 1 species